rnacentral:misc_RNA from 1 species
AAGUCGUAACAAGGUUUCCGUAGGUGAACCUGCGGAAGGAUCAUUAACACGUAUCCAACGUUAAACCCCCCAGUGCGCUCGCACUUUCUUAGAAAAGGUAGCAAUCCCUGGUAAAUCAUUGCCGAACAGUUUUGAUUCAGGGACUUCUGCGUAGACUGUUCCUCUGCUUGUUGGUGUCUGAAAGUGUCACCAGCUCUGUACGAAUGGCGCAGUCACGAUCGCUAGAGGCCGACACGGCCGGCGACCGGGUCACUGGGCGCGAGCCCCCCUCGUCACCUUUGCAUGAAAACGGGCCUGCGCUUAAUUGUGCGGCCACCAAACUCGAACAACUGUUAACAAUGGAUAUCUUGGUUCUC